ACCGAAACUCCAUCUCAAACAAAACGAAACGAAACGAAACAAAACAAAACAAAACAAAAACAGCUUGAGGACCAGAUAGGGCAUCAAAAGCGGAGAAAGCUGGGGAACUCUGUGUCCUCUGAAUCCAGUUCAGAUGGAAAGGAAGCCCCAGAGGGAGGACAGGUGGGGGCAGCUGGAAAGACAAGACCAGGCUCCCCUUCUUGGGUGUGGAGGGAGACAGUGGUCGGGACCCCCAGAGAGGGCAGAGCACCGGGCUGGCCGGUGGGGUGGGGUUCCCCGCAGGAGGCCUGUGCCGCCGGCUGUGUGGCCUGCGGAGGAGCCUGCCGAGCCUGCCGAGCCCCGCAUCCGGUGGGAAGUAGGAGUCUGGCACUUCCGGCUCGGGCUGCUGCAGCGGUUCCGGGCAUCUGCGCUAUUAGAAUUCUCCCGGCUCGCGGCGGCCGCAGGAAUCCAGUCACGUGGUAGACGUGGUGCCUGGGAGCCGGGGUCAGCGAGCGCUCAGUCUGAGAGAAAACGUGUUCCUUCCCCCUGAGACGUGUCCCGUGCCGGGCGAUGGCUCGCGGCAAACCUCCGCUCCCACAGGGAAGGAGCCCUGUGAGGCCUGGCCUGGGAGCUCUCGGGAGCGUGGGUGGAGAUAGAGAUGAAUCUACAAAAUGGAAAAAGUGUUGAACUUGGGAGUCAAGAGACCAGGAUUCUAGUUCUGAUGAUGCCCUUCACAUACCGAAUGCCCUGGGGAAGCCGCUUCCCUUCUCUCAGCCUUGGGUUCUCCAUGUGUCAAAUUAGGCUGUGGAAAAAGAAACACUCAUCUGGCUGAACGGAGACAUGAGCCUCUGUAAACUGAUUCUUCCUCCACAAAGGGGCCCUGGCCCUCACAGCCCCAUCCUCUUUCAUCCUUGCUGCCUGAUCCUAGGGAAGCUUUGCUCUGGUGGUGCCUGGAGCUGUGAUGUAUGCAGUCAUUUGAAACCCCAGCUUUGUGGAAGACACGAGACAUUGAUUUUUACUCUACCAUUUGGAGAAAAAUCAUUUUUAUAUUAGCAGAAAUGUUGAUAGACAAGGAGCAAAGUUUAAGGUUGGAAUGACUUUAAGAUUCAUUCAUUUUUUAAAAAUUUAUACUUAUUGAGUGCUUACUAUGUGCCAGCCCUGUCCUAGGCCCUUGGGGACUGGUUGGUAAAUAAAGCAGAUAGAGUAGUCGAUAAUGCCUGAUAUAGUUUGGAUGACUGUCCCCUCCAAAUCUCAUGUUGAAAUGUAAUCCCAAUAUUGGAGGCGGGGCUUGGUGGGAGGUGUUUGGGUCUCGUGGGUGGACCCUCAUGAAUGGCUGGGUGCUGUCCUAGAGGCGGUGAGUGCGUUCUCAUGAGAUCUGGUUGUCUAAAAACAUGUGGCACCUGCCCCCUCUCUCUCUCGCUUCCACUCUCACCAUGUGACACCCAGCUCCUGCUUCACCUUCC
rnacentral:lncRNA from 1 species